rnacentral:lncRNA from 1 species
CCGCCCCGGCUCCUCUUGCGGUUCCCCCCGGCCUGCGCGGAGCUCCACCACCCGCCCUGGCGCCGGCGGCCCCGCGUCGUCAACAGCGCGAGGUGUCGGGUGGCCCAGGGUGUUUGGGCCGCACCGGGAGGCUGUUGGAAUGACAAGGACGUCCCCGGGGCCAAACGAAAACAACCCCACCCCCUGCGGCGCCACCCGGCUGGGAGCGGAGAGAGACUGACGGCGGAGGCGGGGGUCAGGGCGCGGACCCGGACCCCAGCCCCAUGGGGGACAGAGUCCAAAAAAACCGGCCGGGUGGAGGAUGCAGCCGGGCGUGGUGGCUACAAGGAAGUGCCCUGGUGUUAAGAACUCAGCCUCUGAAACCCGCCGCCCAGCUUCGAGUCAGCGACGUACUUUUGUUGUCCCGGCCUUAGUAUCCCCGCUGCAAUAAGAGUGUAAGCUCCUAAAGGCAGAAAUCAAGCUGACCUAAGCAAAGACCUGAAGGAGCUAUGAGGACAUCUGGCAGAAGAGGUAAUGCUACGGGCAAGAGGCUGGCCAGCGGCUAUAAACAAGUUAAGGGACUCCUCUGAGCCUCAACAUCCCAUCCCUGGAAUGGAGAGAAGGACGUCUGCCCUGCUUAUCUCAAAAGGACAUCGAUGAGAUCAUAGAAGCCCAAGCUGAGGUUACAUCUGAUGCUAAAAACUAGACGAGAAAGGGUCUGUCUGACCCUCAAGGUCAGCAAUGUGUGUGCAACUCCCCUCUCGGGGUCUGGGGACGCAGCCAUGUGUUCCAUCGCACACCAGGCUUUGGGGAUAUUGUAGGGCUCAGACCGCCGACUGCUAGUUUAUUAAAAGAGCAGCUGCCAUCCCGCCGCGCAGUGGGACAGAGAGCUGCAGCCCGGCGCAGGCUCGACCCCGCAGGGAACCGCGACCCGGGGAUAGGCAGCUCUGGACUGCACUGAUCUGGGACUCUGUCGGCUCUACAGACACACACACGCGCGCGCACACACACACACAUGCACACACGCACGCACACACACACGCACGCACAGCCGCUAGGCCUAGAGUUUAUUUUUCCAGGGGCUGGUGGGGACUCCGCUCCCGCGGCGGGCGGCGGCACUGGAAUGUUAAUUGAAACGGAGCUGGCGAGCGCGGCGCAGAUAAGCGUCGCCCAGCAGCGUCCCCGCCUGCGGCUCCCCGAAUCAGCGAUCCGGGAAGGCCCCGCCGCCUCUCUGGCCGCUGAGGGUUUUCUUUUCCACGCUGAAGGAGUGGAACGCGCGCGGAGGCAGCUCGGCGCCCGCAAACCCCCGGAGUCAGCCCCCGACGGUCUGUCCCAGAACUAAACGGUCUCCGCCACCCAAAGCCGAGAAGCUAAGAGGCCGGCUGGGGGAGGGUGACACGGAGAAAUGGAGAAGCCCACCCAGCGGUUACAUACCGGCAGAUUUUUAUUUCCUUUAACUGGUUGGUUCUUCUAAACAUUUAAUGCAAGAAAUCUCUCGGCCCGCUUCACUUUACUCUCCACCCAUGCUCUUCCCCUAACCCUGAGAAUUUUGCACAGAUUUUCGGGGUUCGCGCGGAGCGCCUCUGAAAGUGAUGGCGGACAAACCGUCAAAAAGGCCUCAGCAUAGCAAUUUAGGAAAAGAUCGUAUCAGAUCCUUAAUUCACACCAUACACUCUAAUACACUCGAAAGUAAGCAAAGAAAUUAUAACAAAUACCAGAAUAAAAUAUGGGUGAAUUCCUUUUUAACCUCAGUGUAGGAAAAGAAAGGUCUUCUCACCAUGACUCAAAUCAAGAAGCAAGUAAACAUAACACAAAUGAUUACAUUUUAUAAAAUGCAUGGUAAGAAAUCACUAUAAAAGAAGUCAAAAGACAAUUGUCAAACAGGAAGAAAAUAUUUGCAACAUAUAGCACACAUAACCAAAGUAACUGAUAUUGAGAAAACUUAAAAAUUGA